GACGAACGCUGGCGGCGUGCCUAAUACAUGCAAGUCGAACGAGAGCAACCGGUGCUUGCACUGGUCAAUCUAGUGGCGAACGGGUGAGUAACACGUGGGUAACCUGCCCAUCAGAGGGGGAUAACAUCCGGAAACGGAUGCUAAAACCGCAUAGGUCUUCGAACCGCAUGGUUUGAAGAGGAAAAGAGGCGCAAGCUUCUGCUGAUGGAUGGACCCGCGGUGCAUUAGCUAGUUGGUGAGGUAACGGCUCACCAAGGCCGUGAUGCAUAGCCGACCUGAGAGGGUGAUCGGCCACAUUGGGACUGAGAUACGGCCCAAACUCCUACGGGAGGCAGCAGUAGGGAAUCUUCCGCAAUGGACGCAAGUCUGACGGAGCAACGCCGCGUGAGUGAAGAAGGUUUUCGGAUCGUAAAACUCUGUUGUUAGAGAAGAACAAGUGCUAGAGUAACUGUUAGCGCCUUGACGGUAUCUAACCAGAAAGCCACGGCUAACUACGUG
rnacentral:rRNA from 1 species